UACGUAGGUGGCGAGCGUUGUCCGGAAUGACUGGGCGUAAAGGAUGCGUAGGCGGGUUUAUAAGUGAGAUGUGAAAUACCUGAGCUCAACUUGGGAAUUGCAUUUCAAACUGUAGAUCUUGAGUGCAGGAGAGGUAAGCGGAAUUCCUAGUGUAGCGGUGAAAUGCGUAGAUAUUAGGAAGAACACCAGUGGCGAAGGCGGCUUACUGGACUGUAACUGACGCUGAGGCAUGAAAGCGUGGGGAGCAAACAGG
rnacentral:rRNA from 1 species